AACCCAGCCUAUGGUUUUCCUUCAGAUGAUAACGUGAUUAGAGAACAAGUUGGUCAUAACGCACAGCAUGAAGAGCAACCCACUGAUUUACCUGAAGAUGAUAACAUGAUUAGAGAACAAGUUGGUCAUAACGCUCAGCAUGAAGACCCACC